rnacentral:lncRNA from 1 species
CCUCCGUGUGCCACGCGAACAUGGUCUUCCACAUGCCAAAGUACAGGUAGGGUGUGUUGACUCCCUCGAUGACAACUCCAGAUUCCUGCUCCAACAGAUCCAGAAUGGUUUCCAGGCGCCCAAGGUUCUACUGCUUUGUGUUUUCAUCAAACAAGGAGCCGCUGAUGUCAGCACCAUAAAUGGGGCAACCAUAGAGGCGAUUCUUCCAGUAUUUUCUCUCCAAAUCUUUAAAACUCUGGUGUGGAGGAGUCUGGUACUUUUCACUGUUGGCCAGGUGGCGGUACUCGCCCACCGUCAUGGCUUUCUUCCGUUUAUGGUAUUGAGUAAACACACCUGUCCCCCCAGGGACCACCUGCUGCAGAGGAGUGGCUAUCAUGAGGUCACUGAUGUUGUCAUAGGACUCUCUGGCUCUCCAUCCCUUGGGAGGAAUGACUGUGGCUAAGCCAGCUCUGUGUGCACCCUGGGAUUCCAUGGAAGCAAUGUAUUUGUUGAAAUCUGCAAACUCCUCCGUGGUUGGCCUGAAGGUCAUGACUGUGGACCCUGCAUUCAGGGAACCAGAAUGCUCAGGCUUCAUCCCUGCAGUGUAAGCACCACCCAGAUCAACGUUUUUGGGAGUCUUGCUCUGUGGUUAGGAUGGCCAUGAACUCACAGAAUCCCUCCUGCCUCAACCUCUGAAGUGCUGGGAUUACAGAAGUGUGAAGUGUGCCACUAUGCCAGACUUGUGGAAUUGAUUCUUUGUAACAAUUUAGUGGUAGUAAUUUUUUCAAAAGUAUAAAUAUUCCAACCUGGUCCAA